GACGAACGCUGGCGGCGUGCCUAAUACAUGCAAGUAGAACGCUGAAGGAGGAGCUUGCUUCUCUGGAUGAGUUGCGAACGGGUGAGUAACGCGUAGGUAACCUGCCUGGUAGCGGGGGAUAACUAUUGGAAACGAUAGCUAAUACCGCAUAAGAGUAGAUGUUGCAUGACAUUUGCUUAAAAGGUGCAAUUGCUUCACUACCAGAUGGACCUGCGUUGUAUUAGCUAGUUGGUGAGGUAACGGCUCACCAAGGCGACGAUACAUAGCCGACCUGAGAGGGUGAUCGGCCACACUGGGACUGAGACACGGCCCAGACUCCUACGGGAGGCAGCAGUAGGGAAUCUUCGGCAAUGGACGGAAGUCUGACCGAGCAACGCCGCGUGAGUGAAGAAGGUUUUCGGAUCGUAAAGCUCUGUUGUAAGAGAAGAACGAGUGUGAGAGUGGAAAGUUCACACUGUGACGGUAUCUUACCAGAAAGGGACGGCUAACUACGUG
rnacentral:rRNA from 1 species